rnacentral:lncRNA from 1 species
AGAAUAAAGAAGAGCUGGUUUUUAUUUCAGAAAAGCAAUGAGAAGACCUCCAUGAAAACUGACUACUGAUGGUUCUUCUCUGCCAUAAUAGAUAACUUCCCUUUUUCUUUGCAUUUUAAAAUAAAAGAUCUUGUUUUUGGAAAAUCUGCCGCCCAUUAUUAAAAGAUUAGAAGCCCCACUCCAGCAUUUUCUAUAAAUAUGAGAGGAGGUGAACAAAUCAAAGGAC